UAAAAAAAAAAGAAAAUAACCUCUCGUCUUGGUCUGAAAAUUGAUAAAUAUUUUAAAAAUCUCAUUUUUUUGUAUUUAUAUUGCGUGCGUUGGAAUCAUGAAGAAGUAUGCACGCAGUCAACUUUAUGAUAAACUGCACCGAGGAGGUGUUCUGGUUUGCAUCGGUCUCACUAUUUAUGGAGGAAUCUUGUUAGGCGAUCACUUCUAUAAAUACUAUAAAUAUGUGAAACCACAAAUUGAAGCCAGCAAGGCGGCCGCAGAGAGAGAACUGCUUGCGGAAGGUUCUUCAGACAAAUAUUUGUUAAAAGAUUGAUGUUAUUACUUAAUUAAGACCUAAUUUUAUUUAUUGUUAUUGUACAUAGUUGAUAAUAAAUUAGAUGAAAAAGUAGGAAAUCAAAC